AUUGAACGCUGGCGGCAUGCCUUACACAUGCAAGUCGAACGGCAGCACGGGAGCUUGCUCCUGGUGGCGAGUGGCGAACGGGUGAGUAAUACAUCGGAACGUACCCUGAAGUGGGGGAUAACGUAGCGAAAGUUACGCUAAUACCGCAUAUUCUGUGAGCAGGAAAGAGGGGGAUCGCAAGACCUCUUGCUUUAGGAGCGGCCGAUGUCGGAUUAGCUAGUUGGUGAGGUAAAGGCUCACCAAGGCGACGAUCCGUAGCGGGUCUGAGAGGAUGAUCCGCCACACUGGGACUGAGACACGGCCCAGACUCCUACGGGAGGCAGCAGUGGGGAAUUUUGGACAAAUGGGCGCAAGCCUGAUCCAGCCAUGCCGCGUGAGUGAAGAAAGGCCUCGG
rnacentral:rRNA from 1 species